GGCCAGUUAGCUCAGUUGGUUAGAGCGUGCUGCUGGUAACGCCGAGGUCCAGGGCUCAAUCCCCGUACUGGCCA